rnacentral:rRNA from 1 species
GAGUUUGAUCGUGGCUCAGAUUGAACGCCGGCGGCAUGCCUUACACAUGCAAGUCGAACGGCAGCAUGAUCUAGCUUGCUAGAUUGAUGGCGAGUGGCGAACGGGUGAGUAAUACAUCGGAACGUGCCCUGUAGUGGGGGAUAACUAGUCGAAAGAUUAGCUAAUACCGCAUACGACCUGAGGGUGAAAGUGGGGGACCGCAAGGCCUCAUGCUAUAGGAGCGGCCGAUGUCUGAUUAGCUAGUUGGUGGGUAAAGGCCCACCAAGGCGACGAUCAGUAGCUGGUCUGAGAGGACGAUCAGCCACACUGGGACUGAGACACGGCCCAGACUCCUACGGGAGGCAGCAGUGGGGAAUUUUGGACAAUGGGCGAAAGCCUGAUCCAGCAAUGCCGCGUGUGUGAAGAAGGCCUCGGUUGUAAG